AACGUACGCUGGCGGCACGCCUAACACAUGCAAGUCGAACGAAGUAGCAAUACUUAGUGGCAGACGGGUGAGUAACAUGUAGGUAUCUGCCCUUUGGCCUGGAAUAACACGAGGAAACUUGUGCUAAUACCGGAUAAGUCUUUACGGAGAAAGCUUUAUGCACCAUUGGAUGAGCCUGCACUUGAUUAGUUUGUUGGUGGGGUAAUGGCCUACCAAGACUGUGAUCAAUAGCUGAUUUGAGAGGAUGAUCAGCCACAUUGGGACUGAGACACGGCCCAAACUCCUACGGGAGGCAGCAGUGGGGAAUCUUGCACAAUGGAGGAAACUCUGAUGCAGCGAUGCCGCGUGAGUGAAGAAGGCCCUUGGGUUGUAAAGCUCUUUCGUCGGGGAAGAAAAUGACUGUACCCGAAUAAGAAGGUCCGGCUAACUUCGUGCCAGCAGCCGCGGUAAUACGAAGGGACCUAGCGUAGUUCGGAAUUACUGGGCUUAAAGAGUUCGUAGGUGGUUGAAAAAGUUAGUGGUGAAAUCCCAGAGCUUAACUCUGGAACUGCCAUUAAAACUUUUCAGCUAGAGUAUGAUAGAGGAAAGCAGAAUUUCUAGUGUAGAGGUGAAAUUCGUAGAUAUUAGAAAGAAUACCAAUUGCGAAGGCAGCUUUCUGGAUCAUUACUGACACUGAGGAACGAAAGCAUGGGUAGCGAAGAGGAUUAGAUACCCUCGUAGUCCAUGCCGUAAACGAUGUGUGUUAGACGUUGGAAAUUUAUUUUCAGUGUCGCAGGGAAACCGAUAAACACACCGCCUGGGGAGUACGACCGCAAGGUUAAAACUCAAAUGAAUUGACGGGGACCCGCACAAGUAGUGGAGCAUGUGGUUUAAUUCGAAGAUACGCGCAGAACCUUACCAACACUUGACAUGUUCGUCGCGACUCUAAGAGAUUAGAGUUUUCGGUUCGGCCGGACGAAACACAGGUGCUGCAUGGCUGUCGUCAGCUCGUGUCGUGAGAUGUUGGGUUAAGUCCCGCAACGAGCGCAACCCUCACUUUUAGUUGCCAUCAUUAAGUUUGGCACUCUGAAAGAACUGCCAGUGAUAAGCUGGAGGAAGGUGGGGAUGACGUCAAGUCCUCAUGGCCCUUACGUGUUGGGCUACACACGUGCUACAAUGGUAUCUACAACAGGAAGCAAGACUGCGAAGUUAAGCAAAUCCCUAAAAGAUACCUCAGUUCGGAUUGCACUCUGCAACUCGAGUGCAUGAAGCUGGAAUUACUAGUAAUCGUGGAUCAGCGUGCCACGGUGAAUGCGUUCCCGGGUCU
rnacentral:rRNA from 1 species